UCUGUAUUUUUGAUUUUUUUUUAAAUUAUUUUUAUGACUUUAAUAGUUAAAAUGAUGUACAUUACAUGUAGAAAGCUAGCUACACUUGCUUAGCCAUCAUCUUUGCUAGUAAGGCUAGUUUUUUGGCAAAAAUGUCAUUACCAGCACAGUCAUUACCAGCACAUUACAGCUUGUGUUGGUAAUGACUGGUUGUGGUGGUGAUGACGGCAGAUACAUUAAACAUGCUGUUCCUUAAAGAAUGUAUGUUGAAUACGUUAUCUUAAAUUAAUUCAUAUACAUUUACCAAUUAAAGGUCACUAUUUUUCAUAAAGUAAUACAUUUGUUUUUAAAAUAAACUAAAUUAAUUAAUUACAAUUGUUGCGUUUAGGUGUGACAUGGCUCCAAAAGCAGCUGCCCAAAGGUCCAAAUCAUACAGAAAACGUAUAAAAGAUGAUCCUGAGAAAUAUGCACAGCAUCUGCAGAGUGAGAAAGAGAGAUAUCGUAGAAGAAGAGAAACAGGAAAAUUGAAAUCUGUUUCCCUAUUGAGCACCCGAGAACACAGAUAUGAAAAAAAGAGAUGGAAAGUUAAUCAACAAAGGAAGAGAGCUAAGGACAGAGAAAACAGAGAAAUACAAAAUUAUCUUUCAAUGAAUAGUCCUCCAGAAUCUCCUGAUGUCCAGGCACAAGAUAAUCAGAAUAGGGAUGUGCCAUGUGCAAGGAAUGAAAGAGGAGGUAAGGCGGAUUCCAUCCAAACCCCAAAGCAAAUAGGACGCAAAAAAGUAAAUAGAAACAGAAGAAAGGUCUACCAUGAUCUUCAAAAGUCGCAAAAAAAGCUGGAAAAUGCCUUGCAAAAGGUUGAUAAGUAUAGGAAAAGGUUAGAUAGGCUGACUAAGAAGCAUACCACUGAGCAGUCCCCAAGAACUAAAGCAAGAAAACAGAUGAGGGGAGGACAUGGUAAUCUCAGGAGGACACAUGUGUUCCAUAACACAUUAGUCUCACAGCUGCGACAAACCUACCAUCAAAAGAAAAUUAAAGAAAAACAAAUCAUAUCAAAGGUCAUUGCUGGAAACAUUUUGAAGAAGUACCGGUUAGUGUAUGCGGCACACAAAGAACUUGGAAUAUCCUACAAAACAAUGAGAAAGAACAUAAUGACACCUGGUCUUCAGUAUUCGAGAAAAAAACAUAGUAAUGUGGUGAGCAACACUACAAAAGAGAAAAUUAAAGAAUUCUUGGAACGUGACAACAAUUCGCGAGCUACUACAGGAAAGAAAGACAUCAUAACUAGACAGAAGUUCAAAAAGCAGAAGCGUUACCUCAAUGACUCUCUUUUCAGACUGUAUCAAAGUUUCAAGGAAGAAUAUCCCCAGGUGAAAAUCUCAUACAGUAAAUUCUGUGACAACCGUCCUUUCUGGGUCGUCAAACCCUCCAUUCAAGACAGGGAUACCUGUUUAUGCAAGACCCAUGCCAACAUCCAACUCAUGGCUGAUAAAUUGCUUUAUCUGAAAGUAAUUAGUACCAACAGAAUUGAAAACUCAAUGCACUCACUAUGUUGUGAAAGUCCAACGAAAGCCUGCAUGUAUAGAGAAUGUGUCCAUUGCCAGGACAAAGAGGUACAAACUGCUGCAUUUGAACCUGGUGAGCAAACACAGUGGAUGGAAUGGCGGAGCAAAACAGAAAUCAGGGAGAAAAAGAAAGGUGGUGAUAAGGUGACAUUCACUGCUCACUUAACAGUGAAGGAGCAAAUCCAA
rnacentral:lncRNA from 1 species